rnacentral:rRNA from 1 species
AACGAACGCUGGCGGCAGGCUUAACACAUGCAAGUCGAACGCAUCCUUCGGGGUGAGUGGCAGACGGGUGAGUAACGCGUGGGAACGUGCCCUUCAGUUCGGGAUAACCCAGGGAAACUUGGCUAAUACCGGAUACGUGCGAGAGCAGAAAGAUUUAUCGCUGAAGGAUCGGCCCGCGUCUGAUUAGCUAGUUGGUGGGGUAAUGGCCCACCAAGGCGACGAUCAGUAGCUGGUCUGAGGGGAUGAUCAGCCACAUUGGGACUGAGACACGGCCCAAACUCCUACGGGAGGCUGCAGUGGGGAAUAUUGGACAAUGGGCGCAAGCCUGAUCCAGCCAUGCCGCGUGAGUGUUGAAGGCCUUAGGGUUGUAAAGCUCUUUCGUCCGGGACGAUAAUGACGGUACCGGAAGAAGAAGCCCCGGCUAACUUCGUGCCAGCCGCCGCUGUAA